rnacentral:misc_RNA from 1 species
UGAAAAGCGAAAUGUAAUGUGAAUCGCAACUAACAGUGAAUCAUUGAAUCUUUGAACGCAGGCCGCACUUUCCGGUGUGUUAUUUCGGUAACAUGCCGGAAAGUAUCUACGUAUGAGUGCCAGCCAAAUAUAAAUUUGGUUCAUGAGGGAUGUAUGGCAGGUCGUCCCAUGUCAAUAAAACUCGUGUAUACACACGUGUCUAAAGUGACAUAUCGCUUGAAGCAGCAAUAUGCACGUCUGGCCUCAUAUGUGGAAGGUUACCCGCUGGAUUUAA